UGCCAGCAGCCGCGGUAAUACGGAGGGUGCAAGCGUUGCUCGGAAUCACUGGGCGUAAAGGGUGCGUAGGCGGCCUUGUCAGUCAGACGUGAAAGCCCAGGGCUCAACCCUGGAACUGCGUUUGAAACUACUUUUCUAGAGGAUAGGCGGAGAAAACGGAACUCCACAUGUAGCGGUGAAAUGCGUAGAUAUGUGGAAGAACACCCGUGGCGAAAGCGGUUUUCUAGCUUAUUCCUGACGCUCAGGCCCGAAAGCUAGGGGAGCAAACAGGAUUAGAUA
rnacentral:rRNA from 1 species